UUUAUGGAGAGUUUGAUCCUGGCUCAGGAUGAACGCUGGCGGCGUGCCUAAUACAUGCAAGUCGAGCGAACGGACGAGAAGCUUGCUUCUCUGAUGUUAGCGGCGGACGGGUGAGUAACACGUGGAUAACCUACCUAUAAGACUGGGAUAACUUCGGGAAACCGGAGCUAAUACCGGAUAAUAUUUUGAACCGCAUGGUUCAAAAGUGAAAGACGGUCUUGCUGUCACUUAUAGAUGGAUCCGCGCUGCAUUAGCUAGUUGGUAAGGUAACGGCUUACCAAGGCAACGAUGCAUAGCCGACCUGAGAGGGUGAUCGGCCACACUGGAACUGAGACACGGUCCAGACUCCUACGGGAGGCAGCAGUAGGGAAUCUUCCGCAAUGGGCGAAAGCCUGACGGAGCAACGCCGCGUGAGUGAUGAAGGUCUUCGGAUCGUAAAACUCUGUUAUUAGGGAAGAACAUAUGUGUAAGUAACUGUGCACAUCUUGACGGUACCUAAUCAGAAAGCCACGGCUAACUACGUGCCAGCAGCCGCGGUAAUACGU
rnacentral:rRNA from 1 species